UACGUAGGCAGCAAGCGUUGUUCGGAGUUACUGGGCGUAAAGGGUGUGUAGGCGGUUGUUUUAAGUUUGGUGUGAAAUCUCCCGGCUCAACCGGGAGGGUGCGCCGAAUACUGAGUGACUAGAGUGCGGGAGAGGAAAGUGGAAUUCCUGGUGUAGCGGUGAAAUGCGUAGAUAUCAGGAGGAACACCGGUGGUGUAGACGGCUUUCUGGACCGUAACUGACGCUGAGACACGAAAGCUAGGGGAGCAAACAGG
rnacentral:rRNA from 1 species